AGGACGAACGCUGGCGGCGUGCUUAACACAUGCAAGUCGAGCGGAAAGGCCCUUCGGGGUACUCGAGCGGCGAACGGGUGAGUAACACGUGAGCAACCUGCCCUUAGCUUCGGGAUAGCUCCGGGAAACCGGAAUUAAUACCGAAUAUGAUUUUUGCUGACAUCAGCAGAAGUGGAAAGUUUUUCGGCUAGGGAUGGACUCGCGGCCUAUCAGCUAGUUGGUGAGGUAACGGCCCACCAAGGCGACGACGGGUAGCCGGCCUGAGAGGGCGACCGGCCACACUGGGACUGAGACACGGCCCAGACUCCUACGGGAGGCAGCAGUGGGGAAUCUUGCACAAUGGACGAAAGUCUGAUGCAGCAACGCCGCGUGGGGGAUGAAGCUUCUCGGAGUGUAAACCCUUCGACCCGGAAGAAUGCCGCAAGGUUGACGGUACGGGUAUAAGAAGCCCGGCUAACUACGUGCCAGCAGCCGC
rnacentral:rRNA from 1 species